rfam:Pneumocystis jirovecii RT7 supercont1.18, whole genome shotgun sequence.
GCCUUCUUAGUUUAGGGGUUAUAAUAUUCGCCUAGUAAGCGAAAGGUCGGUGGUUCGAGUCCGCCAGAAGGCA